ACUGCUGUCUAAGUAUAAGCAAUUAUACAGCGAAACUGCGAAUGGCUCAUUAUAUAAGUUAUCGUUUAUUUGAUAGUACCUUACUACUUGGAUAACCGUGGUAAUUCUAGAGCUAAUACAUGCUGAAAAUCCCGACUUCGGAAGGGAUGUAUUUAUUAGAUUAAAAACCAAUGCCCUCUGGGCUCCUUGGUGAUUCAUAAUAACUUUUCGAAUCGCACGGCCUUGCGCCGGCGAUGGUUCAUUCAAAUUUCUUCCCUAUCAACUUUCGAUGUUUGGGUAUUGGCCAAACAUGGUUGCAACGGGUAACGGAGGGUUAGGGCUCGACCCCGGAGAAGGAGCCUGAGAAACGGCUACUACAUCCAAGGAAGGCAGCAGGCGCGCAAAUUACCCAAUCCCGAUUCGGGGAGGUAGUGACAAUAAAUACUGAUACAGGGCUCUUUUGGGUCUUGUAAUUGGAAUGAGUACAAUUUAAAUCUCUUAACGAGGAACAAUUGGAGGGCAAGUCUGGUGCCAGCAGCCGCGGUAAUUCCAGCUCCAAUAGCGUAUAUUAAAGUUGUUGUGGUUAAAAAGCUCGUAGUUGAACCUUGGGCCUGGCUGGCCGGUCCGCCUCACCGCGUGCACUGGUCCGGCCGGGUCUUUCCCUCUGUGGAACCUCAUGCCCUUCACUGGGUGUGGCGGGGAAACAGGACUUUUACUUUGAAAAAAUUAGAGUGCUCCAGGCAGGCCUAUGCUCGAAUACAUUAGCAUGGAAUAAUACAAUAGGACGUGUGGUUCUAUUUUGUUGGUUUCUAGGACCGCCGUAAUGAUUAAUAGGGACAGUCGGGGGCAUCAGUAUUCAAUUGUCAGAGGUGAAAUUCUUGGAUUUAUUGAAGACUAACUACUGCGAAAGCAUUUGCCAAGGAUGUUUUCAUUAAUCAGGAACGAAAGUUAGGGGAUCGAAGACGAUCAGAUACCGUCGUAGUCUUAACCAUAAACUAUGCCGACUAGGGAUCGGACGAUGUUAUUUUUUGACGCGUUCGGCACCUUACGAGAAAUCAAAGUGCUUGGGCUCCAGGGGGAAUAUGGUCGCAAGGCUGAAACUUAAGAGAAAUUGACGGAAAGGA
rnacentral:rRNA from 1 species